rnacentral:rRNA from 1 species
AUUGAACGCUGGCGGCAGGCCUAACACAUGCGAGUCGAGCGGAUGAAGGGAGCUUGCUCCUGGAUUCAGCGGCGGACGGGUGAGUAAUGCCUAGGAAUCUGCCUGGUAGUGGGGGAUAACGUCCGGAAACGGGCGCUAAUACCGCAUACGUCCUGAGGGAGAAAGUGGGGGAUCUUCGGACCUCACGCUAUCAGAUGAGCCUAGGUCGGAUUAGCUAGUUGGUGGGGUAAAGGCCUACCAAGGCGACGAUCCGUAACUGGUCUGAGAGGAUGAUCAGUCACACUGGAACUGAGACACGGUCCAGACUCCUACGGGAGGCAGCAGUGGGGAAUAUUGGACAAUGGGCGAAAGCCUGAUCCAGCCAUGCCGCGUGUGUGAAGAAGGUCUUCGGAUUGUAAAGCACUUUAAGUUGGGAGGGAGGGCAGUAAGUUAAUACCUUGCUGUUUUGACGUUACCAACAGAAUAAGCACCGGCUAACUUCGUG